UGGAUAACCUACCUAUAAGACUGGGAUAACUUCGGGAAACCGGAGCUAAUACCGGAUAAUAUAUUGAACCGCAUGGUUCAAUAGUGAAAGACGGUUUUGCUGUCACUUAUAGAUGGAUCCGCGUCGCAUUAGCUAGUUGGUAAGGUAACGGCUUACCAAGGCAACGAUGCGUAGCCGACCUGAGAGGGUGAUCGGCCACACUGGAACUGAGACACGGUCCAG
rnacentral:rRNA from 1 species